GAGUUUGAUCAUGGCUCAGGAUGAACGCUGGCGGCGUGCCUAAUACAUGCAAGUAGAACGCUGAAGCUUGGUGCUUGCACCGAGCGGAUGAGUUGCGAACGGGUGAGUAACGCGUAGGUAACCUGCCUGGUAGCGGGGAUAACUAUUGGAACGAUAGCUAAUACCGCAUAACAGUAGAUAUUGCAUGAUAUCUGCUUGAAGGUGCAAUUGCAUCACUACCAGAUGGACCUGCGUUGUAUUAGCUAGUUGGUGAGGUAACGG
rnacentral:rRNA from 1 species